rnacentral:misc_RNA from 1 species
AUAUAUUUAUAUAUAGGGAGCUGUCUGUCUGUCUCUCUCUCUCUCUUGGUAUGUGGAGGAAUACGUAUACAUAAUAUACACACAUAUAUUUAUACAUCAUAUAUGUAUGUAUAUACACAGAUUCGCCGCCCUGCCGUCGUUGAUCCUGUCCAAAGGAAGAAAUAGAAUUAACCAGACUCCUAUUUGUAUCUUGAAACUCAGAAACUGGUUUUGGCUGUGACAAAAAAGAAAAAGAAAGAAAGAAGGAUCAUAUUUACCCCCAAAGUGGGUGUUAUCUGUUACUUUCAUCCUCAUUGUCAUCAUCGUCUUCAUCAUCGUCAUCGGCAGUAAUCCGUCUGCUUUUCAAAAUUCCCGCCAAAACGACGUUUAAAUCUUAACAAGCCGUUCCUGUGAUUCUUUUAAACUGUUCUGACAGCAACGAGUUUGCAAAGUUCUUGUUACAAAGUCUGUUGACAUUUGCUUGUCCGAUUUUGAAAUUUGAAAUUCAAACCCUCCAAUUUAAUGAAAUGACAAAACGUCGUCGAAAAUAAACGCCAACAAAACACCAAACAAAAAAAAUUUUUUUUUAAAGAACCGAACUGCAAAACACCCAAAAAGUUGGUCAAACUCCAAAAUAACAUUAACUGUCUGCUCCGCUGUAAUUCUUUACAUUGACUUUUUUCCCUUUCUUCAGGCAAGUUGCUAGGUUCCUUACUGGUGUGGGUAUGUGAGAAACCUCUUCUUGUUUUUGGGGUGUCACUAGCAUGCGAAAAAACCCCCUUAAAAAACCCACAAAGCCAUGAAAAUUGUUGAGGACAACCAACCAUAAAAAGAAAACAAGUUAUUAAAAGAAAAGAAGAAAAAAUUGCAAGACACCUGGAUUUACCUGUUAUUAAUUACAAUUAUUAAUUAAUUUAUUAUUAUUCAUUGUUUUGAUCCAGAGACUUCAUUAUUAUUAUUAUUAUUAUUAUUAUUAUUAUUAUUAUUAUUAUUAUUAUUAUUAUUAUAAGUAUUGUUUGUUAAUGAAAAUUACUCAAAACGGCAGAACGUUUUUUAAAUGUGAGCAAAUAUUUUUGACCAAAAGGAAAAAUAACAACAACAACAACAAUAAUAAUAAUAAUAAUGAUAAAUAAAUUAAAUUAAAUUUAUAUAUAUAAAAAAAAAUAGAUUUAAAUUUGCUUCCCCCUGGCUAUCUAGUCUGUCGAGACAAUUUGCUACUGUGAUUUGAAACUGAAAACUCUCACCUUGGCAACAUAACGAAUUUCUUCUCGUUAAAAUUUUGUUGACUAUAUAUGCAUAAAUCACACACACACACAUGCAUACAUAUAUAUAUAUAUACACACACAUGUAUGUAUAAUUUUUACAAGGAAAAGGUUGAUAGUGACACACUCACAUAUAUAUGAACAUAUAUAGGCUCUCUCCAAAUUGUAAAUUUUCACCCAAUUCUUUCAAAAUAACAUCCAGGGACUAGGUUUUUUUUUUAGGGGUCUUCUUAAAAACAUUGAAUUGAAAUCCUGCCACUGGGGAGAUAAAAAAAAAUAGGGGUCCAAUUUGCCUUUUUCCAUUCCAUCAACUGCAGGGAUUGCUGGUCUUUUGAUAUUUAAAUGAGUACCAGUGGUAUGCUAGGUUUGAUUUAAGUGACAAACCUCACAUCUAUCUAUCUAUCUAUCUAUCUAUCUAUCUAUCUAUCUAUCUGUCUCUAUCUAUCUAUCUGUCUCUGUCUAUCUAUCUAUCUAUCUAUCUAUCUAUCUAUCUAUCUAUCUAUCUAUCUAUCUAUCUAUUAUUCACCUAUCUAUCUAUUUUACUAGAUUCAAUGAAAAAAUAGUAAAAAAAAAAAAAAAUUCAUUUGUUAAAAUUUCAAAACAAAUUAUAAUUUAGAAUUAAGAUGUUGAUACGUAACCCAAGAUGGUUUUGGCAGGGAUAAAAGCUCGAAAAAUAGUAACAAACUGUUUGUGGUAACCAGGAAAAUAUCUAGUUUAAGAUUUUGAGUAGGGUUUCUGACACCAGGAACAGGGGUUAUUUAUUUUGUAAUUUUUUGUUGUCUUUUUUCCAUUUGUUAUUUACCUGGCCUUGAUUAACUAUCUACUCAACUUGAUUUAUACUUUAUCUACCUGGUUGCCUAUCUAGCUACCUAGAUAAUUAGCUACUUAACUCUCUAGUUAGCUGCCUAAUUAGUUGUCAGAAUACUCACUCAUCCGCCUACCUACCUGUCUACUUGCCUACCUACCUACCUACCUACCCACCUAUUCCUAUGUAUGAACAUAGCUACUUACCUAUCUAGCUAGUUGCCAAUCUGUCUACAUAGUCACCUACCUACCAACUUAACCAGUUACCAAUUUAGUUAGUUGGCUAUUUAUAUAGCCUACACACCCUUCUUCCAACCUGUAUAUCUAUAUAUUUGGUUACCAAUCUAACCGCCAGUCUACCUAGCUAGCUACCUUUCUAGUUACCAAUCUAGCUCACUAUAUUAGCUAUUGUCCUACCUAUUACUGAUUUAGCUUCAUUCGACCUGUCUAUCUACCUAUCCACAACCUACCUACAGACCUUGCUACCUGCCUGCCUGCCUAUCUGCCCACCUAUAUAUCAAUCUUCCGAGCUAGCUGAUGUUGACCGACAAUAAUGAGUUUUCUUGCGACGUUCGGCAAACUUCAUCCGAAACCGAAGGCGACGUUUGAGUGUAAAUUCUGUGAGAAGUCCUUCUCGCAGCCUGUGUACCUGAAGACACAUAUCCGAAGCCAUACAGGUGAGAAACGCUACCACUGCAACGACUGCGAUGAGACGUUUGAGCAGUACAGGGCACUGGUGUCCCACAAGAAGACCCACCGCUCGUUCACGUGCGAGCUGUGUGGGAAAAGUGUAGCCAGUGAGGCUCGGCUCAACGACCAUCUGAAAUCGCACACCGGCCAGAAACUGGAAUGUUACACCUGCAAGCAGCUGUUCACCAGUGUCAACCUGCUUGGGUUGCAUCUGCAGAGCCAUGCGAAGGACGCAUCUCCGCUGCACCAGUCCGACGGUGGCGGGGACAGCAACAACAACAACAAAAGCAGUAGCGAUGGUCGCGGGGAUGCUGCUAUGACAACGGGCGAUGAUGUGGACCCGUCCAACGAAAACGUUACCUUCGACAACAGCCUGGCGAUCUCGUCCAUCGUCGACGAUUCCAGCCAUACCUCGAAGUCGAGCAAGUCUAGUCGAAGUGGGGGGAGCAACAGCAGCAGUAACCACAACACUGAGUGCGAGGUGUGCCACAAGAAGUUCUCAUGUGCCUCUAGCUUGACCAAACACAUGAACAUUCAUACAAAGAAGCGGUCGUUCCAGUGCAACUUCUGCGCCAAGUCCUUCCUCCACUCGUUCACCCUCACCCGGCAUUUGCGCAUCCACACGGGUGAGAAGCCGUAUAAGUGCAACUAUUGCGAGCAGCACUUCGCUGACGCAAGCACGCGCAACCGGCAUGCCAAGAUACACCGAGGGUUACUCGGCAAUGCAAUCUCAGCCAUCACAGCCACAGCCCUCACCACCUCCGUCGACAGCAGCUUGGACGCCUGGAGCCAGCCGUACUACGGCGACGCGUACAGCUUUGGCGGGAUGGACUCCGACCUCCACUCGGGUGGCAGCGAAUACUCCGGUCGAUCCCGAUCUCGGAACCAGGCGUCGCACAUGGCUGGUCAUUUGUCCGGCUCAGGCAAGGCCAACAGUAACUACCCAAACUCCGUCCAGUACCCGGGCUCUGACACCUCCCACUCUACAAAGCUGAACUCUUCCUCCCCGUCAUCGCCGUCAUCAUCAUUAUUACUACCGUCGUUGUCUUCGUCAGUUUUUCCAUCCUUCUACGCCUCAUUCCACUCUUCGACCAGCAACAGCAAUGGCAACAACAACACGUCCACCCCCGUCCCCUCGGCUGUCUCUGCGGAGAACUCCGGUUCCGACGCCAACGACGACGACAUGCAGCCGGUGUUACAGAUUCUCUCGGCCAAUCAGGACCAUUGUUUCAUCAUGAACUCGGAUUGCUCAAAGGAGUUUGACGUCAUGAACGAUCUGUAGCUGGGGGCUGUGGUGGUGGUGGCGGCGGCGACGAUGGUGGCGGCGACGGUGGUGGCGGUAGUGGUGGUGGUGGUGGUAGGAAGGGCGACAGGGCAGGGCAGAGCUGAGGCUAAGAAGGGCGCAGGGUUAAUCAGGAGGGUGAGUAGAUGAGUGGGGGUGUUCGGGUGAUUGUGGAUUCGGGUGGCAGGCUUAGUGAACGGGUGGAUAUGGAGGAGGGGAAGGAAAGGAAAAGAAGAGAACUGAUCUGGAAAUAGGUGGGGAUAAUGGGAUCUUUACUGGCAUGGAUGGUUAAGGGCUCCCGUGGCGCAUUUGUGCAGAUUAUUGCGUGGUGUGGAACGGUAUGGGGGACACAGCAACUGCGUAGUAUGGUGAGGUUAUAGGAACAUUUGUAGGGCGUGCAGUGAUAUCAUGGUGUGGUGUGAUGCUGGGAAGAAAUUAAGGGUGUGUGGGUGGCACUGGGGUACUGUAAUACAGUGUCGGUUACCAUACCUCGAGUGUGAAACUCUAGUAUGGUGUGAUGAGGUCUUGGGAUCAAAUGAGAGGUGUGCAGGAUUAGCAUGGUAUAGUUGCUGGGUUACUGUAUCUGGGGUGUCAUGCAGCCUUGGGGAUCAAAUCAGGGGUACACGUGUCUGUGGAGCACUCAGCCACUUGCAUGUUAAUUUCACAAGCAGGCUGUUCCAUUGAUUGAACCAACUGGGACACUU